rnacentral:rRNA from 37 species
UUAAGCGACUAAGCGUACACGGUGGAUGCCCUGGCAGUCAGAGGCGAUGAAGGACGUGCUAAUCUGCGAAAAGCGUCGGUAAGGUGAUAUGAACCGUUAUAACCGGCGAUGUCCGAAUGGGGAAACCCAGUGUGAUUCGUCACACUAUCGUUAACUGAAUACAUAGGUUAACGAGGCGAACCGGGGGAACUGAAACAUCUAAGUACCCCGAGGAAAAGAAAUCAACCGAGAUUCCCCCAGUAGCGGCGAGCGAACGGGGAGCAGCCCAGAGUCUGAAUCAGCUUGUGUGUUAGUGGAACGGUCUGGAAAGUCCGACGGUACAGGGUGAUAGUCCCGUACACCAAAAUGCACAGGCUGUGAACUCGAAGAGUAGGGCGGGACACGUGGUAUCCUGUCUGAAUAUGGGGGGACCAUCCUCCAAGGCUAAAUACUCCUGACUGACCGAUAGUGAACCAGUACCGUGAGGGAAAGGCGAAAAGAACCCCGGCGAGGGGAGUGAAAAAGAACCUGAAACCGUGUACGUACAAGCAGUGGGAGCACCUUCGGGUGUGACUGCGUACCUUUUGUAUAAUGGGUCAGCGACUUAUAUUCUGUAGCAAGGUUAACCGUAUAGGGGAGCCGCAGGGAAACCGAGUCUUAACUGGGCGUUAAGUUGCAGGGUAUAGACCCGAAACCCGGUGAUCUAGCCAUGGGCAGGUUGAAGGUUGGGUAACACUAACUGGAGGACCGAACCGACUAAUGUUGAAAAAUUAGCGGAUGACUUGUGGCUGGGGGUGAAAGGCCAAUCAAACCGGGAGAUAGCUGGUUCUCCCCGAAAGCUAUUUAGGUAGCGCCUCGUGAACUCAUCUUCGGGGGUAGAGCACUGUUUCGGCUAGGGGGUCAUCCCGACUUACCAACCCGAUGCAAACUACGAAUACCGAAGAAUGUUAUCACGGGAGACACACGGCGGGUGCUAACGUCCGUCGUGAAGAGGGAAACAACCCAGACCGCCAGCUAAGGUCCCAAAGUCAUGGUUAAGUGGGAAACGAUGUGGGAAGGCACAGACAGCCAGGAUGUUGGCUUAGAAGCAGCCAUCAUUUAAAGAAAGCGUAAUAGCUCACUGGUCGAGUCGGCCUGCGCGGAAGAUGUAACGGGGCUAAACCAUGCACCGAAGCUGCGGCAGCGACACUAUGUGUUGUUGGGUAGGGGAGCGUUCUGUAAGCCUGCGAAGGUGACCUGUGAGGGUUGCUGGAGGUAUCAGAAGUGCGAAUGCUGACAUAAGUAACGAUAAAGCGGGUGAAAAGCCCGCUCGCCGGAAGACCAAGGGUUCCUGUCCAACGUUAAUCGGGGCAGGGUGAGUCGACCCCUAAGGCGAGGCCGAAAGGCGUAGUCGAUGGGAAACAGGUUAAUAUUCCUGUACUUGGUGUUACUGCGAAGGGGGGACGGAGAAGGCUAUGUUAGCCGGGCGACGGUUGUCCCGGUUUAAGCAUGUAGGCUGGUUAUCCAGGCAAAUCCGGAUAAUCAAGGCUGAGGUGUGAUGACGAGGCACUACGGUGCUGAAGUAACAAAUGCCCUGCUUCCAGGAAAAGCCUCUAAGCAUCAGGUAACAUCAAAUCGUACCCCAAACCGACACAGGUGGUCAGGUAGAGAAUACCAAGGCGCUUGAGAGAACUCGGGUGAAGGAACUAGGCAAAAUGGUGCCGUAACUUCGGGAGAAGGCACGCUGGUGUGUAGGUGAAGCCCCUGCGGGUGGAGCUGAGACCAGUCGAAGAUACCAGCUGGCUGCAACUGUUUAUUAAAAACACAGCACUGUGCAAACACGAAAGUGGACGUAUACGGUGUGACGCCUGCCCGGUGCCGGAAGGUUAAUUGAUGGGGUUAUCCGUAAGGAGAAGCUCUUGAUCGAAGCCCCGGUAAACGGCGGCCGUAACUAUAACGGUCCUAAGGUAGCGAAAUUCCUUGUCGGGUAAGUUCCGACCUGCACGAAUGGCGUAAUGAUGGCCAGGCUGUCUCCACCCGAGACUCAGUGAAAUUGAACUCGCUGUGAAGAUGCAGUGUACCCGCGGCAAGACGGAAAGACCCCGUGAACCUUUACUAUAGCUUGACACUGAACAUUGAGCCUUGAUGUGUAGGAUAGGUGGGAGGCUUUGAAGCGUGGACGCCAGUCUGCGUGGAGCCAACCUUGAAAUACCACCCUUUAAUGUUUGAUGUUCUAACGUUGGCCCCUUACCGGGGUUGCGGACAGUGUCUGGUGGGUAGUUUGACUGGGGCGGUCUCCUCCCAAAGCGUAACGGAGGAGCACGAAGGUUAGCUAAUCCUGGUCGGACAUCAGGAGGUUAGUGCAAUGGCAUAAGCUAGCUUGACUGCGAGCGUGACGGCGCGAGCAGGUGCGAAAGCAGGUCAUAGUGAUCCGGUGGUUCUGAAUGGAAGGGCCAUCGCUCAACGGAUAAAAGGUACUCCGGGGAUAACAGGCUGAUACCGCCCAAGAGUUCAUAUCGACGGCGGUGUUUGGCACCUCGAUGUCGGCUCAUCACAUCCUGGGGCUGAAGUAGGUCCCAAGGGUAUGGCUGUUCGCCAUUUAAAGUGGUACGCGAGCUGGGUUUAGAACGUCGUGAGACAGUUCGGUCCCUAUCUGCCGUGGGCGCUGGAGAAUUGAGGGGGGCUGCUCCUAGUACGAGAGGACCGGAGUGGACGCAUCACUGGUGUUCGGGUUGUCAUGCCAAUGGCACUGCCCGGUAGCUAAAUGCGGAAGAGAUAAGUGCUGAAAGCAUCUAAGCACGAAACUUGCCCCGAGAUGAGUUCUCCCUGAGACUUUAAGUCUCCUGAAGGAACGUUGAAGACGACGACGUUGAUAGGCCGGGUGUGUAAGCGCAGCGAUGCGUUGAGCUAACCGGUACUAAUGAACCGUGAGGCUUAACCUU